rnacentral:rRNA from 1 species
GACGAACCGUGCGAACGUUGUUCGGAUUCACUGGGCUUAAAGGGCGCGUAGGCGGACGGUCACGUCGGGGGUGAAAUCUUUCAGCUUAACUGGAAAAGUGCCUCUGAUACUGAUCGUCUCGAGGGAGGUAGGGGCAUGUGGAACUUCCGGUGGAGCGGUGAAAUGCGUAGAUAUCGGAAGGAACGCCGGUGGCGAAAGCGACGUGCUGGACCUCUUCUGACGCUGAGGCGCGAAAGCCAGGGGAGCAAACGGG